rnacentral:rRNA from 1 species
GACGAACGCUGGCGGCGUGCCUAAUACAUGCAAGUAGGACGCUGAAGAGAGGAGCUUGCUCUUCUUGGAUGAGUUGCGAACGGGUGAGUACGCGUAGGUAACCUGCCUUGUAGCGGGGGAUAACUAUUGGAAACGAUAGCUAAUACCGCAUAACAAUGGAUGACACAUGUCAUUUAUUUGAAAGGGGCAAUUGCUCCACUACAAGAUGGACCUGCGUUGUAUUAGCUAGUAGGUGAGGUAACGGCUCACCUAGGCGACGAUACAUAGCCGACCUGAGAGGGUGAUCGGCCACACUGGGACUGAGACACGGCCCAGACUCCUACGGGAGGCAGCAGUAGGGAAUCUUCGGCAAUGGGGGCAACCCUGACCGAGCAACGCCGCGUGAGUGAAGAAGGUUUUCGGAUCGUAAAGCUCUGUUGUAAGUCAAGACACGAGUGUGAGAGUGGAAAGUUCACACUGUGACGGUAGCUCUACCA